rnacentral:ncRNA from 1 species
UUCUUAUCCAGAGAGGUGGAGGGACUGGCCCUUCGAAGCCUCGGCAACAGACUUAUAAAAGAACUGUGCCAAUUCCAGUAGCGUUAGCUAGCAGAUAAGAA